rnacentral:rRNA from 1 species
UCAGUCGACUCCUACGGGGAGGCAGCAGUGGGGGAAUAUUGGGACAAUGGGGGGAACCCUGAUCCAGCCAUGCCGCGUGUGUGAAGAAGGCCUUAUGGUUGUAAAGCACUUUAAGCGAGGAGGAGGCUACUGAGACUAAUACUCUUGGAUAGUGACGUUACUCGCAGAUAAGCACCGGCUAACUCUGUGCCAGCAGCCGCGGUAAUACAGAGGGUGCGAGCGUUAAUCGGAUUUACUGGGCGUAAAGCGUGCGUAGGCGGCGUUUUAAGUUCGGAUGUGAAAUACCCCGAGCUUAACUUGGGAAUUGCAUUCGAUACUGGAAGCUAGAGUAUGGGAGAGGAUGGUAGAAUUCCAGGUGUAGCGGUGAAAUGCGUAGAGAUCUGGAGGAAUACCGAUGGCGAAGGCAGCCAUCUGGCCUAAUACUGACGCUGAGGUACGAAAGCAUGGGGAGCAAACAGGAUUAGAUACCCUGGUAG